GAAUAUUAUUGAAAAUGGUAAAACAGAAAUUCAAUUUAUUAUAAAAUUUCUUAAUAAAAUUAAAAUAAAAUGUCCAGAAAUUAAGUUUGAUGAUAAACGAAUUGAUAAUGUUCAAGGUCGAAUUAUUAAUCUAAUUAAUUCAAUAAUUACUAUAACAUGUAUAAGAAAUUUUUGAGAACUAAAUGUUUUAAAAAAUCAAUUGGGAAAUU